UACGUAGGGUGCGAGCGUUGUCCGGAUUUAUUGGGCGUAAAGGGCUCGUAGGCGGCGUGUCGCGUCGGGAGUGAAAGCCCGUUGCUUAACGGCGGGUUGGCUUUCGGUACGGGCAUGCUGGAGUGCGGCAGGGGAGACUGGAAUUCCUGGUGUAGCGGUGGAAUGCGCAGAUAUCAGGAGGAACACCGGUGGUGUAAACGGCUUUCUGGACCAUAACUGACGCUGAGGCACGAAAGCGUGGGUAGCAAACAGG
rnacentral:rRNA from 1 species